rnacentral:lncRNA from 1 species
CGGCUGCGUGGUUUAACAAGAAAAAAAUUGAUUCAUAUAAUACCAUAUGUGUCUAUGAAACAGUCACCUCUCAAACCAAAAUUUGAGUUAAAAAUAAAUUUUACACUCACAGUGUACCUUUAAAUGUAUGUGUGUGUGUGUGUGUUGACUGUAUGCUUGUAUACACAUUUAGCUGUUGUCAUGGCGUCAGCUCAUGGGGAUCCAAAUAAAGAUCAAGUCUUAUAAAAUAAGUGAAUGUUUUUUUGUGAAUUUUAUAUAUGUUUACGGCUUUCUUACAGUGUAGGAGUGACUUUUUUUUAUUUAACUAAGCAUAUAAGGUGUUCACUUUUAUGAACUAAGUUUCCAUGGUGAUAUUAGUUGGUCUUUGAUAACAGAACACCCACAUCAAGAGGCUCAAAACCAGCUUUAUACUCAGAAAACAACUUCAAAACUCACUUCAGUCAUAAAAAAAACAAUUACAAUCAAUAUAUUCUCAUUAUAAUUCAUGACUAUAAUUACAUUUUUUCAAAAUCAUUGAUUGAAUAAAUUCCUUACAAAAAACAACAAAAUGUAGGCCACUCAAAACACCUGAGCUAGGAACCAUGACAACACAGCUGACUAACAAUACAAUACAGUGAUACUGUUGAAAUACAAAGGCUGUGUCCCAGAUGGCACCUUAUUCCCUCUAUAGUGCACUACUUUUGAUCAGAGCCCUGUAUGUGCCCUGUCAAAAGUGCCUGUGACGUACUUAACUGCACAUAUGUUUCAGGUGUCUAUACAGUACGGGUGAGUCCGAAAUGGCACCCCAUUCCCUAUAUAGUACACUACUUUUGACCAGAGCCCAAAUGGGCCCUGUUCAAAAUGAGUGCACUAUAUAGUGAAUAGUGUGACAAUUGGGCCACACACCAUGUGAUCAUGCAUUGGAAGGAAACUGGUUCAUAUUUGAAGUGGAGUAAAUAACUUCUUCCCUUUUCAGUUGUGUUAUGAGAAACCUUCGAAACUGAAUUCCUGUCCUCUCUUCAUCCUCUUUCUUUCUGUGUAAAAUCCCCCGUUCUUCUCUUUCCUCCUGUACAGCUCUGUUUUAUCCUCCUGUACCCUUGUUUUAUCCUCCUGUACUGCUCUGUUUUAUCCUCCUGUACCGCUCUGUUUUAUCCUCCUGUACUGCUCUGUUUUAUCCUCCUCUACCGCUCUGUUUUAUCCUCCUGUACCGCUCUGUUUUAUCCUCCUGUACCGCUCUGUUUUAUCCUCCUGUACCGCUCUGUUUUAUCCUCCUGUACCGCUCUGUUUUAUCCCCCUGUACCGCUCUGUUUUAUCCUCCUGUACCGCUCUGUUUUAUCCUCCUGUACCGCUCUGUUUUAUCCUCCUGUACCGCUCUGUUUUAUCCUCCUGUACCACUCUGUUUUAUCCUCCUGUGGAUGAACCUCUUCAAUUAUCUAUAUGUCAAUCCCCCUCUAGGUGCGUGUCAAUAGCCUAGACAUACAGUAUUGUCUGCGUUCCAAAUGGGACCUUAUUCAUAGUGCACAACUUUUGAACAAGGUUAAAGUUCGGGGUCAAAAGUAGGGCACUAUGAAGUGAAAAGGGUUACAUUUGAGACACACCCGUUUUGUCUCUUCUUCUGAUUCAACUCCUUUCCUUAAUCUGCACUGAUGAAAGAGAGCUGGACUGGGGAAAGUACCUAGAGGAUAGCUAGAGGACACCUAGAGCACAGCUAGAGGAUACCUAGAGCACAGCUAGAGGAUACCUAGAGGACAGCUAGAGGAUACCUAGAGCACAGCUAGAGGAUACCUAGAGGACAGCUAGAGUAGAGGAUAGCUAGAGAACAGCUAGAGGAUACCUAGAGGACAGCUAGAGUAGAGGAUAGCUAGAGAACAGCUAGAGGAUACCUAGAGGACAGCUAGAGGAUACCUAGAGGACAGCUAGAGGAUACCUAGAGAACACCUAGAGUAGAGGAUAGCUAGAGAACAGCUAGAGGAUACCUAGAGGACAGCUAGAGGAUACCUAGAGGACAGCUAGAGGAUACCUAGAGGACAGCUAGAGGAUACCUAGAGGACAGCUAGAGGACACCUAGAGGAUACCUAGAGGACAGCUAGAGGAUACCUAGAGGACAGCUAGAGGAUACCUAGAGGACACCUAAAGGAUACCUAGAGGACAGCUAGAGGAUACCUAGAGGACACCUAAAGGAUACCUAGAGAACACCUAGACUAGAGGAUACCUAGAGGACAGCUAGAGGAUACCUAGAGGACACCUAAAGGAUACCUAGAGAACACCUAGAGUAGAGGAUAGCUAGAGAACAGCUAGAGGAUACCUAGAGGACAGCUAGAGGACAGCUAGAGGAUACCUAGAGGAUACCUAGAGGACAGCUAGAGGAUACCUAGAGGAUACCUAGAGGACAGCUAGAGGAUACCUAGAGGACAGCUAAAGGAUACCUAGAGGACAGCUAGAGGAUACCUAGAGAACACCUAGAGUAGAGGGUAGCUAGAGAACAGCUAGAGGAUACCUAGAGCACAGCUAGAGGACACCUAGAGGACAGCUAGAGGAUACCUAGAGGACAGCUAAAGGAUACCUAGAGAACACCUAAAGGAUACCUAGAGAACACCUAGAGUAGAGGACACCUAGAGGAUACCUAGAGGAUACCUAGAGGAUACCUAGAGGACAGCUAGAGCAUACCUAGAGGACAGCUAAAGGAUACCUAGAGAACACCUAGAGUAGAGGACACCUAGAGGAUACCUAGAGGAUACCUAGAGGACAGCUAGAGGAUACCUAGAGGAUACCUAGAGGAUACCUAGAGGACAGCUAGAGCAUACCUAGAGGACAGCUAAAGGAUACCUAGAGAACACCUAGAGUAGAGGACACCUAGAGGAUACCUAGAGGAUACCUAGAGGAUACCUAGAGCAUACCUAGAGGACAGCUAAAGGAUACCUAGAGAACACCUAGAGUAGAGGACACCUAGAGGAUACCUAGAGGAUACCUAGAGGACACCUAGAGGAUACCUAGAGGACACCUAGAGGACAGCUAGAGGAUACCUAGAGGACACCUAGAGGAUACCUAGAGGAUACCUAGAGGACAGCUAGAGGAUACCUAGAGGACACCUAGAGGAUACCUAGAGGAUACCUAGAGGACAGCUAGAGGAUACCCUGAGGACUCGCUCUCUCUCUGUCGCUCGCUCUCUCACUAUUUUUCACUCUUUCACUCUUCUUUAAAUCUCCUCCCUCUUUCUCUAUCCCUCUCCCUCUCUCUAUCCCUCCUUCUCUCUCUCCUCCCUUUCCACUGCUUGCUCGUAAUCAUCGUCUCGCCUCCUGCGCCGACCCCUAGCCCCUCCCCUCCUCUCCCUGGUCGAAUCAGAGCCCUGCGACCCUGCGUCUCCGCCGAAGUCCUCCCUGAUCACCUCCUCCUGCUGCUCUUCAUCCUCAUCCUCAUCACUCUCCUCCGAGUUCGACUCGUCUGAGUUUUCCUCCUCCAGGUAACGAUAACCUUUGACCUGAGAAGGAAGUGACAUGGUCAACAUUAUAUUACA